CCACCUUUAGUGACGGACCGGGCGACGGUUUGGUUCGUUGUUAUAGAACAGAUAAACGGUUUAUAUGUUAUGGUAACGGUUCGAUGCGCUGUUAAAAGCUAAGACGACGGUUCUCUGAUGUACGCGACAGACCGAACCGUCACCCGGUCCGUCGCUAAAGGUGGUGAGCAAUGUAUGUUAAAUAAAGGGGUAUGCAUUUGAUCCUCUCCGUAUAUAUACAUAUAUACGAUUAAAUAGUAUUUUGUAUUUCAAAACUUAAUAUAUAUAUAUAUGUAUAUAUAUAUAUAUGUAUAUAUAUAUAUAUAUGUAUAUAUAUAUCAAGUUAAUGCAUGUAUAUAUAUCAAGUUAAUGCAUGAUAUAGAAUAAGUUAAUCAAACAUGUUACAAUAUUUCUAACUUUAUCAUAAUAGUAACAUAGUAUUUUACAACAUUUUUUUAUGAGAUUCUUUUAAUUAGCUCAUUAAUCAUACAAUAGAGAUCGACUUAAACAUCAUUUUAGGCGUUUAGGUUUCUACUCAUCUUUGAGCUCUAAAUUUUUUAAAUUUUAAUAUAAAUUAGAAAGACGGAAUAUUAAAUUAAAGAAAUUAUAUAAAAAAAAUCUGAAUACUAAAUUAAAAAAUUAUAUCAAAACUGAAUAUUAAAUUAAAAUAACAAAAAUCACAUUUUUAAACAUUCAGGUGCGAGUCUGCAACAAUUGUAUCCGGUCUAUAUUCAUUCGUCUUUUCAAACAAAGUCUGGAUAUUUUAAUAACAAUGGUAAGUUGAUGUGUGAAAAUUUUAAAAAUAUUUUAUAAUCGUUAUAUAUAAACCAAAUAAAAAAUUAAAAAUUAUGAUAUUUGAAAUAUAAAUUGGUGGUUCGCACGGCUCACUUACCUACUUAGAGGGAAUUAGAGGGAAGUGUAAUUUGGGGAGCCGAUCAGUUUCAUCACUUUAUCAGUACCCAAUCAAACACUCAAAACAUCAUGUAUUGAGAAGCAUCGAAAUACGCUGAUUGCGAGAGCCAGAGGAGAGAGAAAAUGGUGGGAUCGGACAAUACAACGGAAAAACCCAACGACGUUUCUGUGGAGGUGCAUGGUAGGAGAAGAAGAAAAUGUAAGGAAUUGGACAGGCUGGACAAUUAAGAAAAAUUUAGUAAACAGAGAUAGGAAAUUGGAUUGAGAGAGGAGAGCUAGAGGAACUAGAGUGGGGGAGAAGAAAGAACAGUUAAUAGAGAGAAACAGAUUCGUUAUUUUCAUUCAUGACUGCUAAAUGUGAUAGAUCACAUACAUAUACUCUCACCUCAGCAAAAGGAUGAAAGAACUAAGCACAUCAUGCCCAAUAUCAGAUCUAACAGAAUUACAGUAAAAAGACAAUAAAGACCAUAUUUAAACAAUUAAAGGACUUAAAUACCCUCUCGCUUAACUAUCUAGAUUAAUCUCACUUAAUUAAUUUAACUAACUUGAUUAGCUAGCUGUGUUCCCCCUUAAAGGGGCCCUUGUCCUCAAGGGUUGAACUGAGGAAACCUUUUGUGUAAUUAGUUCCAAUUCUCCGAUAUAGCUUCCGAGGGCAGAGAAUUUGCCCAUUGAACCAAUACCUCCACCACUUUAGCUGCAUUAUUCCUCUUAACCAUUCUCCUAUCAAGGACAUCAAUGGGUUCCACUAAGAAUUCUCCAACUGAGUCCAUAGGGGAUAAUAUAGGGGAGACAGUGCAUUGUGAUCCAAUUUUCUUCUUAAGUAAAGAGACAUGAAAAAUUGGAUGUAUCCUGGCUUAACGAGGUAGUUGGAGUUUGUAAGCCACUGAGCCAAUUUUGUCCUCCACCAAAAAAGUUCCAUAAUAGUCAUCUUCCCAUGUCUUACCUGUGUCAAUGAAGUUUGUUUGUAAGGCUUAACCCUAAGAUAAACCAUAUCUCCUGGCACAACAGACCUUUUUGUCCCGUGUUUGUUAACAUAGAAUUUGAUUUUGGACUGAGCCUCCACCAAAUGCUGCUUCAUCAUCUGUAGCAAUUGGGAUUUAUCCUUGCAAAACUGCUUGGUGGUAAGGUUAUGAAUUUGCCCAAACUUACGAAAGUUUAGGUGGGGAGGUUUAUACCCAUAGAGCAUUUCAAAAGGGGUAGUUUGUAAGCUUGUGCGGAAAUGAGAAUUGUACCACCAUUCAGCUAGAGCCAACCAUGAAACCCACUUGUGAGGCUUUUGAGUCACCAUGCAUCUGAGAUAACAUUGUAGAACUUGAUUUACUCUCUCAGUUUGCCCAUCUGUUUGUGGGUGGUAAGCUAUUCUCAUCUGCAAUUUGGUACCCACCAUUUUGAAAAGGGACUGUCAGAAAAGGCUAAUAAACACCUUGUCUCUGCCAGAUACUAUGGUAGUAGGUAGUCCAUGCAGCUUAUAGAUGUGUAGAAGGAAGUCCUGAGCCAACUGUGCAGCAGUGAAAGGAUGUUUUAAUGCAACAAAAUGCCCGUAUUUUGUGAGCCUGUCCACCACCACCCAAAUCACUGUCAUUCCUUUUGAAUUAGGCAAGCCUUCUAUGAAAUUCAUUGAAAUAUCAGUCCAAGGGGUCUCUGGGAUGGGAAGAGGUUGCAGCAGUCCUGGAGAUGCUACAGUUUCAUGCUUUUGCUACUAACAGACAUCACACUCCUUCACAAAAAAAUAGUGUCAUCUUGUCUUAAAGUAGGCCACCACAAAAACUUGUUGAUCCUUUCAUAGGGUCCCCUAAUACCUGAGUGUCCUCCAAUAGGAGAACUACGGAAUUCAGUCAAAAAACUUCCUCCUUAGAUCCAAAUCUGGACCUACCACUAGUUUAUUCUAGAAUUUAAGUCUGCCAUGGAGGAAAGAAUAGCCAGGAAGGGUGUCUGGUUUUAGUUGCAGUUGGGUUAUGAUAUUCUUCAUCACAUCGUCUCCUGCAACCAAGUAGGAACUACUGAAGUUAUAGUGUUGCAGUUAUCCAUAUUGUCUUGAGUGAUGGCCAGACAAGGGUUCUGAAGUGAGGGUUCCCCCAUUUUUCUAGAGAGGCCGUCAACCACUACUUUUUCCUUUCCCUUUUUGUAUGCUAUCUUAUAAUCAAGUCCCAUCAAUUUAGUUAUCCACUUCUGUUGGUUUGUAGUUGUAAUCCUUUGAUCCAGCAAAUAUUUUAGGCUGUGGUGGUCUGUCUUAAUGUAGAUCUUAUUACCUAACAGGUAGUGUCUCCACUUGUUAACAACAUAAACCACUGCCAUUAGUUCCUUCUCAUAGGUUGACCACCCCAGAUGUUGGGGUGCUAUUGCCUUACUUAAAUAGGCUAUAGGUCUCCCUUUCUGCAUUAACUGCCCCAAUGCCAUAAUGUGAGGCAUCAGUUUUCAAAAUAAAGGGCUCAUUGAAGUUUGGCAUGGCCAAGACUGGAGCCUAUGUCAUAGCUUCUUUCAAAUCCCUAAAAGCUGCAGUUGCCUUUUCACUCCAGGUAAACUUGUCCUUCAAUAGGUCAGUUAGAGGUUUACUGAUUAGCCCAUAGUUUCUUAUAAACCUCCUAUAAUAUCCAGUUAGUCCCAAAAUACCCUCAAUCCCUUUAUGUUAACUAGUAAAGGCUAAUUGGUCAUGCAACAAUAUUUUCCUUGGUCAGAGGAAAUACCUUCAGAAGUAAUCUCAUGGCCUAGAUACUGCACUUGUUUUGUUCCAAAAACACACUCCUCUUGGCAAACAAACAAUGGUCUUGCAGUAAUUGCAAAGUCAGCCUCAAAUGCUCCAAGUGCUCUUUAUAACUGCUAUUGUAAACCAAUGUCAUCAAAAAACUAGCACAAAUUUCCUUAAGUAUGGUUGGAAUACCUCAUUCAUUAGAGAUUGAAAGGUGGCUGGGGUAUUAGCGAGCCCAAAAGGCAUUAGCAAAACUCAAAAUGGCCAUUAGGGGCUCUAAAAGUUGUUUUUGGUUUGUCUUCUUUGUUGACUCGAAUUUGGUGGUUUCCAGACCUUAGAUCCAAUUUAGAGAAAAAAUUUGAGCCAUGUAACUUAUCAAGCAAUUCAUCAAUUGUUGGGAUUGGGAAUUUGUCUUUUACUGUCAUAUUAUUCAGUGCCCUGUAAUCUAUACACAUCCUCUAGGUGCCAUCAUGUUUUUUGACUAGGAGAAUUGGAAAAGCAUAAGGGUUGUUGCUUGGUUGGAUGAUUCCAUUCUGCAACAUUUCUUUCACAAUCUUUUUUAUUUCACCCUUCUGGACAUAAGGAUAUCUGUAGGGCCUGAGGUUCACUGGCAGGCUACCCUCAUUUAACAUGAUGUGAUGAUCCUGGGUUCUUGUUGGGGGUAGUCCUCUUGGCUCCUGGAAGACCACAAAUAAUUCUUGCAACAGACUUUCCAUUUGAGGGCAUCUCCCAUUAGUAGAGUCACCCUCAUGCCAUCCUCUGUCCACAUAUUUGCCCUUGUUGUUGCCCUGGUCCCCCAGCUCAACCACCUUCUCUUCCUUAUCUUCCUGGUACAUCCCAAACAAAUAGCCAAAAUACCCAUGGGAUGCAGACUUGAGCACCCUUUUGAACUCACCAGAAUCCAUGUAGUGCAUGAGUUAAAUGUUUUUUUGGUCACUAUACUUUAGGUCAACUUACAAAUGGAUAACUGAACUUUUUUUUUUACAGUCAAUUAACUAUACUUUACUUUUCUAACACAGUUAAAAAACCCGUUAAGUCCUUUGACUUUAAACGGAAAAUGACACCUAAGCUGCUGAAUUGUAAAAAAAAAAGCUGAUGUGGUAGUGCUUAUGCGACGUGGCUAUGAUUAUGUGAAUCUGGUAGAAAAUUUUAUGAAUAAAAUGAAAAAAUAUUUUAAAGAAAGAUUUAUUUAGUUAUUUUUAUAAUUAAUAGCAAAUGUUUUUUUAAUUCUGGUUGUAAUUUCCAUACGCCAGAAUUAAACUACAAUCUCACUUUAACUCUCUCGUAGCAUGAAUCUGAUGCUUCUUGAACAUCUAGAGAGAGGAUUGUUGGGUGGUGGAUGAUCGGCGGGGGGAUAUGUUGGAAUUUUUUUAGUUCUGUUGGGUAUUCAAUGGAAUUUUCUGGGUUUCAGGUAGAAGGUGGAGAUGAGAAAGGGCGACGGAAAGAGGAGCAAAUACGACGUCGGGUAAUGGCUCGAGUGUACAGGCGAAGCAUAAUUUGUUACAAAUUUUAUGGAUUUUUUAUUGGUUAUGGUGUUUAAUCGGAGAGAGGAGAGAAAUUGGUCUAGUUGCAGAGGGCGGUCAUGGCGGUAAGGGAAGUGAAAUGUAUACCAUGUGCAAUGGGAACCAUAUGGCUAUUAUUCGUUUUGAACUUCCGAUUUGAAUGCUAUAUUUCUCUCUUAAUGUUCAGAUUGGAUUUUUGUGGGAACUGAUGAGGUCCAUCGCCGGAUUCUGGUUUCGUUAGGUUUUGAUGGUACCAAUUUGGGAUGGUUCCUUUACCAGUAGUUCAUUUUAAUUUUCUUGGCUUAGAUUGAUUGUGUUGGCUUGGAUUAAUUGUUGUACUAGCAUAUUUUUAAUUAUAUUUGUAAAAAAUUAAACAAAAAUUCAUUUAAUAUUAAUUAAAAAAUUAAUUAAAUAUAUGUUUCAUUUAUUUUCUAAUUUUUUGGCAAACUUUUCUAAUUUAUAUUAUUAUAAUUAAAUACAAAUUUAUUUGGUAUUAAUUACAAAAAUAAUUAAAUAUAAUUUUCAUUUAUAUUCUUAUUUUUUUGACCAAAUUUUCUAAUUUAUAUUAUUAUAUUUGUAAAGAAUUAAAUAAAAAUUAAUUUGAUAUUAAUUACAAAAUAAUUGAAUAUAUUUUUCAUUUAUUUUCUUAUUUUUUGACUAACUUUUCUAAUUUAUAUUAUUAUAUUUGUAAAUAAUUAAACAAAAAUUCAUUUGAUAUUAAUUACAAAAUAUUUAAAUAUAUUUUUUAUUUAUUUUCUUAUUUUUUUUGGCAAACUUUUCUAAUUUAUAUUAUUAUUUGUAAAGAAUUAAAUAAAAAUUUAUUUGGUAUUAAUUACAAAAAUAAUUAAAUAUAUUUUUCAUUUAUUUUCUUAUUUUUUUGGCUUAAUUUUCUAAUUUAUAUUAUAUUUUAAAUUUAUUUUUUUAUUUUCUCCAUAAAUUUUUUCUUUUAGAUCCACAUAAUCAAGGCCACGUGAGAUAAUUCUUGACACAUGCUUUUUUUUUUACAAGUCAACUGCUUAUGUGUCAAAUUCCGUUUAAAGUCAAAUGACUUGACAGUUUUUGUAACGGUUUGUAGGAAAAGUUAAGUUCAAUGAGUUGACUGUAAGAAAAAAAGUUGAGUGACUCAAUUGUAAGUUGACCUAAAGUAGAGUGACCUAAUCUGUAAUGUAUGGUUGGGAUCACUUGAUCAGAUUCACCUUGCAGUACCAUAGUCCUUCCUUUUUUUUCCAAACUUAACUGCAAGUUAUGGAAAUCAAAGGGGGUAAAAUGCAAAGUCGACCACUGAACUUUAGGGGUUUUUGGGUAUUGAGCCCUUUUCUUUUGGUCAACGCAAAUUGAGUCCCUUUUUAUUAAAAAAUUUGGACUUUGAGCCCCAAGCGCCACACAUGCGUUGACCUGCCUACGUGGCGCCUAUGUGGCAGAUUUGACGUGGACAUUGUUCAUUUUAUUUUACAAGUGGACGAGCUGACGUGGCCAUUUUUAAAAUUUUUUUCAAAAUUAUGUAGAUGUACAGAUUCGAACACGGAACCUCUAAGUUGGAACAUUGGUACAAUGACCAACUGAGCAACAUGGGAAUUAUUGUUAUUAUUUUGCAAGGAUUAAUAUUUAUAACUAAACAAUUAAAUCCCCAAAUUAAAAGACAACAGAUCCCAAGCAGUUCCCAUAGCAAACUUUAAGGAUAUAUUUACCGGAGAAAACAUAUUUUAAUUAAAUAUAUUACCUAAAAUAUUACAUAAUUUUCGGUAAAUAUUUUAUUUAUUUAUCUAAAAUAUAUUUUAGGGUUAAGUUCAGAUGACCACCUGGGGUUUAAGCGGUUUCUCACUUAACCACCUGUAGUCAGUAAAGUUACAUUUAAACUCUCAACUUUUUGAGUUGAAGUGAAAACGUCACCUUUUCCAUCCAAUUUAACCGUGCGUGUAUGUCAAACGCCAAAAACGCGUGAAAAGGGCUAUAACAAUUAAAAAAAACAUGAUAAAUGUCUGAAAUACCCUUCCUCUCUUCUCCUCUUAUUCUCCAACCCAGCUCUCUCACUUGCAUCCUCUCUCUACGCUUGCCAUUCUUCCUCUCUGCAGUAAUGGUUUCGAGCGGAGAGCGUACGGAGAUAGCUUUCUUCGACGUCCGACCUGCCGACCUCUCUCUCAUCUCCAAAAUGUCAGUCGACUGCAACGGCAUCACCUGCGACGGCGUUGUUUCUGCCCCCACUUUCUCCCAAAUUGCUAAUAGGUUUGAUUGUGCUCGCAUAAGAGAGGCGUUUACGCAGAUUAAUUGAUUCAUUGGCACUGUUGACCCAAAGGUUCGGAAAUUUGGAAAUUUGGAAAUUCCAAAUUUUCUUUUCUUUUCUUUUCAUUUUUUGGAAAUUUGGGUGAAUAUAAAGAAAGAAAUCAGUAAUUGAAAAUUCAUGUGUUCAAUACAUGUGUUCAAUACCUAAUUCGCAUAAGAGUCUAUAUUCGCCUAUAUUUCUCGUUGCUUCAGAUGCUAAAUUAGGGGUAGGGUUCAGGGUUGAAAUGUUGAAUAUCGGAGGAGGAGGCAGAUUUUAUUGGGUUUGAAAUGAUGACACCGCCACAAAAGUCAAAGGAAUUGUGGUAAUAUUCACAUGGGUUUCAGUUCAGGAUAGUUAAUUGAAGGAUUUUGUGAAUCUUUAUUCUUCUCUUCAAUGGAUCUCACUUGUUUGUCAUUCUGAUUUCCUCAACCCGUAAAAGUUCAAUUCCAUAAUCUUUAGGAAUUGUAUAGAAUUUUGUUAUAAUUGUUUUUAGCUAAUUUGCAUUAAAGUAGUUGAAGAUAGUUGUAAAAAGUGAAGCUCCAUUACAUACAUACUUUGUCAAAUAUUAUGCAAAAAUUAAGUGUAUUAGCUUAGCCCAUUGACCAAGCUCAGUAAGAUUUGGUUUCAGCUAAGUGGUAAAGAUUUGGUAUGAAGCUAAUUUUAGGGGAAAUAAGAGGGAAUUUUUCGGUUGUUAAGUUUAAGAAAUGAAAUUGCUUUUAAUAUGUUUUGGUAGAAUGUAUAUUUGGGGUUGAGACAUUGAUUUCUUCAUUUGGGGUUGUACAUUUGUUCAUUUAAUUAUAUUAUGGACAUCCCAAAAAAAAUUCAAUGCAAAUGAUAAACAUGUUUUCUGUGAUUUGUGUCUGAUUGAGCCAGUCCUAUUUCUCUACACAUUCGAUCAUGUGGUUUGGAUAUGUUUAUUUGCUGCUGUUGUUGGACCAUUGGCUUUCUGUUGCUACUGCUGGCUUUCUUCUUUUGAUGCUGCUGGAAAUUUUGGAAAUUUGUUUUUUUUUUUUGAUUGAGAAGGAAGAUGGAAGCUUGCUUUGUAUUCUCUGCUCCCUUGCCUGUAAGGGUAAUUAAGUCUUUAGUCAACUCAAGUAACGGAGUUAUGACGGAAAGCAUUUAUUCAUAUUAACUCAAAAAGUUGGGAGUUUAAAUGUAGUUUUACCGACUACAGGUGGUUAAGUGGGAAACCGCUUAAACCCCAGGUGGUCAUCUGAACUCCCAAUAUAUUAAUUAAUCAUUAAUUAAAAUAUUAAAUAUAUUCUCGAUAAAAUAUAUUUAAUAUUAAAAUAUUAAAUAUAUUUUACUUAUAUUUUCGGUAAAAUAUUAAAUAUUAUAUUUAAUAUUUUAGCCCCAUAUUUGUUUUAUAAAUAUUAAAUAAUUUCCAGUAAAUAUUUUUUUUAAUUUACCUAAAAUAUAUUUUAAUUAAUCAUUAAUUAAAAUAAUAAAUAUAUUUCUGGUAAAAUAUAUUUAAUAUUAAAAUAUUAAAUAUAUUUUACUUAUAUUUCCGAUAAAAUAUUAAAUAUUAUAUUUAAUAUUUUAGCCCCAAAUUUGUUUUUUAAAUAUUACAUAAUUUCCGGUAAAUAUUUUUUUUAUUUUAUAAAUGUGACUUUUUUUGUGGAGCAAAGCAAGUAAUUUGAAAUUUGGAGAAAAGCUAUACUUGGAGUUGUGGAAAAGCUAUACUUGGAGUUGCUGUGGAGAAACAAGUAAUUUUAAUAUUACGUUAAUUUAAUUUGGCGAUCUAAUUGUUUAGUUAUAAAUAUUAAUCUUUGCAAAAUAAUAACAAUAAGGCCCAUGUUGCUCAGUUGGUCAUUGGACCAAAUUUCCAAACUAGAUGUUUCAAGUUCGAAUCUGUGCAUCUACAUGUGGCGCCUGGGGCUCAAAGUCCAAAUUUUUUAAUAAAAAGAGGCUCAAUUUGCGUUGACCAAAAGAAAUGGGUUCAAUACCCAAAAACCUCUAAAGUUCAAUAGUCGACUUUGCAUUUUACCCAAAUCAAAGGUGACUGGAUUAAAAGAUUGCAAUCACUUAACCCCCAGAAUUGCAUCUAUGCCUCCUGGAGGUAGUAUUCUAAAGUCUGUUUGGAAUUCCUUCCCUUGUAUGGACCAUGGAAGUCCUGGGCAGUGCUGAUGGCCUUGAAUCCAUCUGCAGUAGUCACAGUGAUAGUAUUGGUUUCCUUUACUGCACAUCCCUAAUUCUCUUAUCUGCCUGAGGAUCUUCGAAAUUGUUGGUGCUGCCACCACCAUCCACCAAUAUCCUCAUAAACCUUACCUGUGACAUCCCAAGUAGUCUGAUAGUAUUAUUAGUACUGUGUCCUGAGAGGGCAUGCAGGGUGAUUUGGGCUUCUUGGUCCUCGCCUUCUACUGGCAAACUCCCUUUCUCAACCUCCUCACAGGAUUCAACCUCUUCAGGCUCUAGGUCAUCUAAGGUUGAAGGGAGCAACAUGAAUAAUUGUGGUUUCAUACAUAUGUGGCCCUGCACAAAGGGUUCAUCACAUGAGAAACAUAAUUCCUUCCUUCUCUUUUUAUGAUUUGCUCCCUAGUCAACCCCCUUACAGGUAAUUUUCUCAGUUUCCCCAUUACCUUUGGCAACAGGUUUGUGUUGUGGCAUAAGUACAGGUUUAGAAUAGGUAGUGCUCAUAGUGGGCUUAUUUAUCACCUUGCUCCUUUUGUGCCAAGCCUCCAGUUUAGCUUCCUCCACCCUAGACAAUCUGAUCAUGUCCUUGAGUGUUUUGGGCUCAAGUUCCUGGAUCCCCAACUGAAUUUCCAAUUUUAAUCCUCCCAUGAAGCAGUCCAUAAAAAACUCAUCAUUAAGGAUUGGAUUCCUUGCUAAAGCCCAACCUCUUAAUUCCUCAAAUUUUCUUCUGUACUCAUCAACUGACCCAAUUUGUUGUAGUUUCUUCAGUUCCUCUAUGGGGUUAUCACUAGCCUUUGGGCUAAAUCUAGCCACAAUCUCCUCUAUCAACCCAUCCCAGGUUAGCUCUUGGCCUUCUUGCACAAACCUUGACACAACUCAGCCUCUCCUUCCAAACUCAAAGUGGUCAUGUACACCUUCUGGGAUUGAGGUAGUGUGUGGUGUGAAAAGAGCUCAUUAUAUUUCCUAAUCUAUGACCUAGGGUUCUUCCCAUUAAACUUAGGGAACUCAAACUUAACUGUUUUAAAAAUAUCAUCAAACUUAUCUGGUUUAGGAGGGGGCUCAUAGGGGCCCAAGAUGGAACCGAAAGGAGGACUUGAGGGACCUAGCUGAUUGGAAUCCUUUUGUUGUAUUCGUUGAGCUAAAAGCACCUCAAAGCUCUUCAUCAUCUGUUCCAGCUUGGUAUCAAAUUCCUGCUGUAGUGUAGAAACUGAAUAUAGCAACCGAGUCUGCAGCUGCUGUAUGGUUGUGGUCUGUUCAUGAACAUGAGUUUCUAAAUUGCUCAAACGUUGAUUAUUGGUGGCCAUAGUCGCAGGUAGGUUUGGAAGCUCUGAUACCAAUUGUAAGGAAUUGGAUAGGCAGGACUGGACAAUUAAGAAGAAUUUAGUAAACAGAGAUCGGAAAUUGGAUUGAGAGAGGAACUAGAGUGGGGGAGAAGAAAGAACAGUUAAUAGAGAAACAGAUUCGUUAUUUUCAUUCAUGACUGCAAAAUGUGAUAGAUCACAUACAUAUGCUCUCACCUUAGCAAAAGGAGGAAAGAACUGAGCACAUGCUCCUUACUCAUGCCCAAUAUCAGAUCUAACAGAGUUACAGUAAAAAGACGAUAAAGACCAGACUUAAACAAUUAAAGGACUGAAAUACCCUCCCACUUAACUAUUUAGAUUAAUCUCACUAAACUAAUUUAGCUAACUUGAUUAGCUACUUGUGUUGCUUACAGGAAAUUCUUACAAAUCUAUGCGAUGCUACACAGAACACUGGUCGCGAUGUUCUUUUAUGGACUCGCCACUGCAGUCCUCUCCGUGCUCUCAUUGUUUCUGUACAGACAUUUGUAAAUUAUUAAUUUGAUUGAAUUAUGUUUUAGUUGAUUAAUUGCGAGUGUUUUGAUUGGUUGUGCAUUUUGUUCUGUUUAUUUGAUUUUUGGAAUUGACUUUCCUUUUCGGUGAAAUUUAAAUUGCUGAUUUUGACCUGGUUAUGUGAUUUUUGAAAGAAUUGAGUGUUCAAUACUAACCAAUCUAUUUGAUUUUGGAGUUUUGAGUGUAAGAUUUGAGAUUUUGGCAUCAAUAGUAUGAAUAACCUCAAAGAAUGGGAUAGUUUUAGUUGAGUGAUAGACGUAGCUAGGGUUAGUAGAGGAUAAUUAAUGGCUAAUGGGAUGUAUGUUUCCAUUGUGCUAAAGCUGGUAUGCAAAACGGUGUGAGCUGUUUAUUACUCAAUUCAACACAUACCUCAAAUAUUUGAAGUAGCUUUCAACAAUAAAAACCUAAUUGGUUAGCCCAUGAUUUGUUCAUAUGACUCGAUAUAUAAUAUGAAAGCUCAAUAUAUUUAAUAUAAUUAUUGUUUAUCCCUUGGUUCAAAGGGGAUGAACAAAUAAUGCUGAAGGUGCACCCUUGGCAUGAACAAAUAAUUCAGUUAUGAUGUGUAUGAAAAUUAAGUUCUUUAUGCACCAUUAUAGUGCGUGUGGAAAGUUCACAUCACAUCGUAAUUUUAAAAUUUUCCAAAUAAUAAAUCACCUUUGUUGAAUUUUAAUCUUAUAGUGGAUUGUACAUUAAUAUUCAAUUCCUAAACUACCCAAACUAGAACUACCAGUUCACUUUACGAAAUUAAGAAGUUUGAUUUUAUUGUUGAACGCUACUCCAAAUAUUUGAGGUAUGUGUUGUAAAUAAAUAAUAAUAAGUAGACGUUUAAUUUUUAUUAUCAAAGAUAUUAAAAAUAAUAAGUAGUGUUCAAAUAAUAAUAUUUGAGGUGAUAGAAUAUAUAAUAAUAAUUUAUAAUGUAAAUAAAUAGGUAUUCAAUUAUUUAUGGACUUUAUUGAAUUCUAAUCAAAUUCAAAUUUCGUAAAGUGAAUUGAUAGUUCUUACCUUGUUCAUUUCAACAUCUUUAUUUAACUACUUAACAUAAUUGUAAAGUCGACUACUUACUGCAAAACACAUUUAAAACACUUCUUACAUUGUUCAUUUCAACAUCCUUAUUUAAAUACUUAACAAAGUUGUAAAGUUGACUACUUAAUUACUCCGAACACUUUUUAUCCUGCUCAUUGCAACUUUCUUAUUUAAAUACUUAACAUAGUUGUAAAGUUGUUAAGUUGAAGUGAGUCGGUGGCCGACUGCUUCAGCAACCAGUCAUUCAUCCUCAAUAUUUCUUUGUUCAAAUCAACGUGUCUCUUCAUCCUCAAUAUUUCCUUGCUACAUAUCUAACUGUCAUCCAUCACUCUGUCUCUUCACCAGUUGCAUACCCAACUGUUGAUUUCUCUGUAGUUGCACUCGAUGCAACUAAUACUACAACAUCUAAUACAGAAGAUAUCAGCGGUAAUGAUGAUGUUGUGGAGAUCCUUCUAAAGGAACUUCAGGAUAUGGGGUUCAAGCAGGUUGAUUUGAACAAGGAAAUAUUGAGGAUGAACCGUACCUAAAGCUCUCUCUCUCUCUAUAUAUAUAUAUAGAGAGAGCUUCCUAUGAGGGUGGUCCGCAUGCGAACCACCUUUAGCGACGGAAAAACUCGUUGCCAUAGGGUCUGAAUCGUUGCGAUAGCUCAGAACCGUCGUUAUAGCCCGGUUCAGACCUUAUGACGACGUGUUUAGCGACAAUUUUGUUCGUCGCUAAAGGUGGUCUGUAUGCGGAUCACCCGCAUAGAAAGCGGACUAUAUAUAUAUAUAUAUAUAUAUGAACAUUAAUAUUUAAAUUAUAUAAUUUUCUUAAUCAAACUCAAAUUGGAACUAGUAGUUCACUUUAUGAAAUUAAGAAGUUUGAUUUUAUUGUUGAACGCUACUUCAAAUAUUUGAGGUAUGUGAUGUAAAUAAAUAAUAAUAAAUAGGGCUUUAAUUAUUUGAACGCUACUUCAAAUAGGGGUUUAAUUUUUAUUAUCAAUGAUAUUUAAUAGUUUUGAUUGUGAAAUUGUAAUUUUUGUAUGAUAAUUGUAAUUUGAAUAUAUAUAUAUAUAUAAAUUGAGUAUUAUAAAUAAUUUGUCAUUUUAUUGGCGACUAGUCAACUGGUUGCUAAAGCAGUAUGCCACCGACUCGCUUCAACUUAACGACUUUACAACUAUGUUAAGUAGUGUUAAAUAAGGAUGUUAAAAUGAACAAGUUAAGAAGUGUUUUAAAUGUGUUUUGGAGUAAGUAGUCGACUUUACAACUAUGUUAAGUAGUUAAAUAAGGAUGUUGAAAUGAACAAGGUAAAAUGUGUUUUGAAUAUGUUUUGGAAUAAGUAGUCGACUUUACAACUAUGUUAAGUAGUUAAAUAAGGAUGUUGAAAUGAACAAGGUACUAACAGUUCACUUUACGAAAAGUUUGAUUUUGAUUAUAAUCCGAUAAAGUCCAUAAAAAAUUAAGCACCUACUUAUUUACUUUAUUAUUAUUAUUAUAUAUCUUAUCACCUCCAGUUAGAGCUGUGAAGGAUCCUCCAAGUCAAACCGAGUUUUGACGUUUGGAGAGUUCACUAAAUAACUAAACAAGUCAAAUAUGUUGUUCAAUAUUGGCUACCUUAUGUUGUUUUAUUUAUCUGCUAAUUUAAUAUCUAUAUAUGUUCACGAGCUAUUCAUGUGUGCUGUGUUGAAACACAAACAAGCCACACUCGAACUCAAUUUAUAUUUCUUAUAUAUUAAUACAAUUAUUACUUUUUGAAAAGGAAGUGAUAAACGCGCUCCACUUUUCACCAUUAGCGCUCCAAUGUAAGGUUAAAAUUGAACAAAUUUUGUGCUAUUGUGAAGCGUAACUUGUAAAGUAUGGGCUUAAUUAUCAUAUUUUACCAUUCACACUGAGCUUUGCAAGUUAAAGUUAUUUAAAUGUCUUUUUUGACUGACUUGUUCUUUGGCAUUGAUCGUGUAAUUUUCGAUAUUUAUAUAGGAAUCCUCUUCUUUUGAUGAUCAUUGUUAAAAUAAGUUCAUCUUCCUAUAAUUUAUGUUAUUUCUUAAGCUCUUCAAUUAUUUCUACAGGUGAUGGUUAUUGUUGUUGCGCCCCUCAUAAAGAAUCUUUUAUCUAGAGAACUCUACUUUCUGUUAUGAAGUCUAAGAUGAAGUGUGCUACUGCCAAAAUUGCUUAUAAGGUGAUCUGUACUUGGCCCUUUGUUGGGGGUUUGGUAGAAGAGAAAAUUGCACAAAAGCUACCCCCAGUUAAGCUAUUGUUUUAAAGGCAGAUGAUGUAAGAAGGUAAGGAAAUGAGAACAUCUCUAGUGUAGUAAUCAUUUAACUCAUUUUAGUUUCUCUGCACAUGGAGGCUCUUUGAAAUUUUCUGAAGGUGUCACAUCAAACUUUUAGGCUCAUGCCCUAAAUGUAUUGCCAUAAGAAUAUAUUUUUGCAUCGUCUUACCUGAAACUUGUUUAAGUGUUGUCGCCUCUCUAGUUUAGUAUUGAUUAGGCAUAUAACUUAAGGCUCUAGUGAUCGAGAUUAUUCCACUACCUUCUCUCUGUUACAUAAAUUGAUCAUUAGUUUUAAAGGUAGACUGGGUCAUCCACAAAUUGUUUCAAAUAUUUCCCCUGAUAAGUUGGCCCAAUUUUGGGCCACUCUAAUAUGAAACUAAUGCUGACAUUUGGAGUUUCAUGAUUAGUCUAUACUUUUGUGCCUUUUGAUAAAGAUUAAACUUUUUGGUUACUUCAAUUUUCAUUUGGUUAUUCUUAAUGUGAGAUUGAUUUUUAUUUUCCUUGUUUAUAAUUUUCUUGUAUUUUUUCCAAG
rnacentral:lncRNA from 1 species